GGAAGUAAAAGUCAUAACAAGGUUUCCGUAGGUGAACCUGCGGAAGGAUCAUUAUUGUAUAACCGAGGUGCGAGGGCUGUCGCUGACCCGAAAGGUCGUGCACGCCCGAGUGCCCUCACACACAUCCAUCUCACCCCUAUGUGCACCACCGCGUGGGUCCCCCCUUGGCUUGUUCGGAGGGGGGCUUACGUUUUCACACAAACUUUGUAUGCAGUGUAGAAUGUAUUUUUUGUUUUUGCGAUCACGCAAUCAAUACAACUUUCAACAAUGGAUCUCUUGGCUCUC
rnacentral:misc_RNA from 1 species